UAUACUCGAGCUUCUUCUAUAUUUCGCACUCGAGAAAAUAUAAUGGAAUUCUCCACCAUCUUCAUCACUGCUUGCCGCCACCAUCUCCAUCUUCGUCGCCACCACAACCAACGCCACCAACACUAGAAUCGUCUCCAUAGCCAUCAUCACUAUAGAUAGUAGUUAUCACUCUAUAAUUUCACAUCUAAAAAAAACUCUUCUCUUUCUCUCCGGAAAUCACCACCACCACCAUCUCCUCCGCCAACUGAUUCAGAUUUAAUGGGAAAUUAUUAUCAGCAACAGAUGGUUCAUAUUCUGAAAGACCUUCUUCUUCUAAAAAUUAAUUUCAAAAUCUGUUUCAAAAAGAUUGAGAUCCGAUUUUAGUCUUUGAUUUCUGAUAAUUUCAUCUCGAUUUCAACUGGAUUGGGAUUGAAGAACCUAAAAUCGAUGAUUACAGUUGGUUAAUACAUAUUUUUCCGCAUCGAUUUGGCAUUUAUUUAUUAUCUUCUUUCUUUUGCUUUGAAGUUUCUGCUGGUGUUGGUGGUAUUGUAACUGGUGGUGAUGUAGAUCGAAAGAGGUUAGAUUAAGAACGGCGGAAUUGAUGGAGAUUGCGGUGUGGUUCUGGUUGGAAUGGUGAAAUUUGGCGAUUGAGACAGUGGUGGUGGUUGAAGAUGGUGGUGGUGGUGAUAUCUUCCGGAUGGGAAAUAAGAAGAGUAUCCAAAUGAUGGUGGUGUAGCUUAUUGCCAAGGAAGAAGGGGUAUGGAAUGAACGUUAGGGGUUGUGGCAGAGUUUGGAUGGAUCUGUAAAUGAAUGUUUGGAAUGGCAGUAAAUAGUUGCAGGAUAGAACAAGGUGAAAGAGAGCUAAUAUAUGAGCAGAAUGAGCAGGUGUUGCAGUGGGUAUGUGCGUGGUGCUGCAGUUGAAUAGAAGUUUGUUCUUGGUGGUUAAAAUUACUGCAGUUACUGUUGGUGUCUCUUGGAUGUCUACAGACUGAUCGGUGGGAAGCUGAAUUAAGGGACAGGAUGAAGAUGGCCAGGGUAUAGAAGUGUGGUUAGGUGCUGGCCAGAAUUUAAAAUGUUGUUGGUUGUGGUGCUGUGGUCAGUUUAAAAGUGUUGGUGGACUGUGAUUCAGCAACAUGUGAAUGGUCGAAGGGGUCGAAUUCUUAUUUUAAUGAGAAAUGAUUUCAGUAAAUGCUCUAUUGAGUUCGUGGUUCUCGACUCAAUGGGAAGGUUAGACACGAAGGGAUUUAACAGCACAAUGGAAUGGGAAUUUGCUCCACUUUUAUGCACCAUGUUGUAUAUGUUUUGGUAAUGAAUGAAUGAUGGAAUGGUCUGCUGCAAUUUAUGGACUUUGGGGGCUGUCUACUCAUUUUUCCAAUGAUCUUUUUAGUUUUCAGCGAUGUUUGGGUUAUUUGCAUACAAGGAUGCUGCUCUGGUUCAAGUUUACAGAGACAAUGAAGACUUGAAGUUGAUCUUUCCAGGUGGCGAUGAAUAUUCAAAUGAGUGAACAGUAGUCCCCCUCGUGUUCACUGCUGCACCAUUAAGUCUUAAGCAGUGCAUGCAGUGACUCAAUUUUGGCGGAUGGCCCAUACAGCGGUUGCAGAUGUUAUUCAGAUUGUUAUGAACAGUUGUUGUUGUUUUUCCAUUUGUGUGCCACCCAUAGUGGUUAUGUAUAAUCAGUCGAAUAAAUUGUUAUGUACUUAAUAGUGCAGUUGAGGGUUACUUAAUGAACUUGCUUGUUCUAAAUGUUUUUUGUGCUAGAUUGAGGAUUAGCAACUCUCGGUGGUAUACGGUGAUGAAGCAAUGAGUUAGGCUUUGUGUGUUGUUUUGUGUGAGUGUUGUUGGAGUUGGAAGGAAUCGGCUUCAGAACCGCGAAGAGAACUGAACAUACAUAAAUAGGCAAUGACAUGACUUUGGUAAUGGAACUGGAAUUUCUUGUUCUAUGGUAUUAAGUUAUUCAGGUGGUUGAAACCAGUGGUGCCGAGAUUGGUUUAUAUCAACAAAUGGGUAACUGUAGAAGAUGCUGAGAUAGAGAAGCGAUAGCAAUCACGACUUUAUUUUUUUGCAUACAUCUUAAAGUAAUCACGAUGAAUCUGUGGUGCAAUGGUAGCACAACUGACUAGAUAUCAGAAGAUGGGUGUUCGAUUCACACUUGGUUCACUCAUUUGUGUAUAAUUUUUAUUUUUUGGAGACAACUCGUGCUA